rnacentral:rRNA from 1 species
UUCAUGGAGAGUUUGAUCCUGGCUCAGGACGAACGCUGGCGGCGUGCCUAAUACAUGCAAGUCGAGCGAACCGACGGGAGCUUGCUCCCUUAGG